rnacentral:piRNA from 1 species
UUUGAUUUUUCACUGUUUCUG